CAAAGAUUAGAGGUUUGCUCUAUUUAAGAGUUUGAAGGUCUUUAGUUUUUUUAACUUAAAUCUUU
rnacentral:tRNA from 1 species